UUGGCUCGAACACAGGCAUUUGUUUAUUCGAGUAAACAGAACAAAGCCAAAAAUUCUUUUUUUUUUUUUUUCCCAACAGGUAAUCCUUUUUCCCAUGGGAACUGGCCAUGGCUGUGCCACAGGGCCCUGGGCUAAAACAAGAUAACAUGGCCAAGACAAGCGUGGGAACGGCUGCUUGAGUGAGGCGAGGGGCAAACCAGAACAGACAAAGGCAAUGGAUAAAUGCAGGAGCCAAGGGCAUCUCUUCGUACCUUAUCCAGUUGCUUUGGGAUGUUGUCUGGAGCAUCACUGGGAUUGCUUCCUUUCUUGCUGAGACCUGGCUGGGCUUUGAAAACCUGGGGUGCCUUCUCUCUGUGGUGUGGCUAGAAACUAACAGCUCAAAGAUCUUGUCCCAUAACUUGUCGCCUCAGUGUCUUGGGAUUUUGCUGAAGGAGCAUUUAAUUUCAAUCUUCUUGGACCAUAAGCCAGACCCUUACUGUGAAGGCAAGAUCUCUUGGCUUUUCCCUGCAAGAUGCCAUAGAAAAAGCCCUGUAAAGCUGCCCUGCAAAUACCAUGUGGUACAGGUUGGAAGAUGCACUGCUCUGAUCCUGCAAGGUUUGGGUAGAGCAGGGUUAAUCUCAGUGCAGAUGUUUGUGGUGCUGCCUGCAUCCUCAGCUCCAGCGAGGACAUGCCCGGCAAAGGGCUGAGGAGGGAGCUACAGACCAGGAAAGACACGGGGCCAUCACCGCCCGGAGACACCAGGGAAGCCGUGAGGUGCCUGUGCGGGGAGGAUCCAGGCUGCGUGCCCAGAGGUGGGAUGCAGCAGCUGAGCUGCUUUGCUCUGUUUGUAACCUCCCACUGCUGCUGAACAGGCUUCGCAGGGCGGAGAGGGAGCUGAAGCUGCAGCUGAAAAUUGAAGCUUGAGGCUCAGGUGCUUGGAAGAGCUUAGGAGCCCCAUUCACCCAUCGUUCCCUAGGAAAGCGGGAGCUCGAGUCCCUCCUGGGUCCUCCGUUUUGCUCUCAGGCUCAGCACAGCGUGAGACUUCCACACUCCACCUUGGAGCAAAAAUCAUUUGCAUUAACUCUUUGAGUAAAGGAGACGUAAGUUCACAAUUAAACUGCAGUGCACAGCAUCACAAUGGGAUAUGAGGCAAGGAAAGAAAGAGGAAGGAGAAGGAAAACCAGCUCAGUCUUUAUUUUUAAUUUGCAUCCUUUUAACUGGUGAAGGAGUGCUGGGUGAGCACAGUGACAGUGACACGGUGUGCUCCUGUGAGUAGGAUCCAGCCUCCCUACCUGGGCAUCACAGCAGGGAGGUUGCAUUCAGGACCUUAUACCUAAAAGCCUGAUGCCCUGGGUUGGAUCCUCCCAGGUGUCUCCAGUCUGGUCCCCCAGUGGGGCGGGAUGAGGGGCCAGUGUACAGGUGAGUGCUGAAACCUGUCCUGCAGGGAGGAGGUGCAGCUGGGAAGCUGACAGAGGAGCCGGCCAACAAUUCAUAGGGCAGGAAUAGUCCAAGGAGCUGUCUAUGCCAAGGGAUGUGGGAUCACUUGGGUUCAUUCAAGGGCACAAGUUAAAACACCAGGAAUAGGCUUAGUGAAAAAGCAGACUGAAAGAGAGUAGAGCAAAGGCAACAGACAACUUGUAUUUGGCAUUUACUUGCCUGAGUGUGGUGUUUCAGGGGUGUAGGAUCAGCCUGGGAAAGUGCACACUGGUGGAGAGCCAUGAGGGGAACAUCCAGACCCCAUCCCCAGGUUUUCCUGCCCCUUAUACAAAACAGCCUGUGCGCAGCCACCCCUCUCUGCAUCCCAGCCUUCCUGGCAGGAGGUGAGAUGGCAAGGUGAGGGAUGAGGCUCCAGCACCCCUUUGGUCCUCUUGGCUUCCUGCCAAAAUUGCUAAUUAAAAGGCCAGUUUCAUCAAGUGAUUUUUCUGACGCAAAAACUUUUCCAUAAGGAACUGGUCCCAAAUCUACCAAUUCAUUUCACAUUUAUUUUGAAUCUAAGCUUUGUAGUCUGUAAUU